rnacentral:rRNA from 1 species
AUUGAACGCUGGCGGCAGGCCUAACACAUGCAAGUCGAACGAGUGGCGGACGGGUGAGUAAUGUCUGGGAAACUGCCCGAUGGAGGGGGAUAACUACUGGAAACGGUAGCUAAUACCGCAUACCAUCGGAUGUGCCCAGAUGGGAUUAGCUAGUAGGUGGGGUAACGCCUCACCUAGGCGACGAUGCCUAGCUGUCCUGAGAGGAUGAACAGCCACACGGGAACGUAGACACGGUCCAGACUCCUACGGGAGGAAGCAGUGUGGAAUAUUGCACAAUGGGCGCAAGCCGGAUGCAGCCAUGCCGCGGGUAUGAAGAAGGCCUUCGGGUUGUAAAGUACUUUCAGCGAGGAGGCGUUACUCGCAGAAGAAGCACCGGCUAACUCCGUGCCAGCAGCCGCGGUAAUAC